AAUAUUGUCCCUGAAUUGUGGUACUUUAACUAGUCAAAAAAGAAAAAUUCUAACCAUCAUUGGUUGUUUGUUUAAUUCGUUAAGAAGAAGUGCAAACAUAAAAAGCAAACGAAAUCCUUCAGCAAAACCAAUUCAAAGAAAACCCUCAACUUGGAAGUUACAACUCACAGCCGCAGUGAAGCAACAACCUAAUCCACAUUUAUCAAAGUUACCAGCACAGCAACAGCGAAAGAAGUUGACGGGUGCCAGCACUCAAUGUAAUUUACAGCAACCAUUGUUAAGGGUUUUUGGCUGGCUGCCUGUGCCAUCACCAUCAUCAUCAUCAUCAUGUCUCAAUGCUAAAGUACCCAAAACAAGCAUAUUGCUCUGCGAAGCUGGGCAUCACAAUCAUCUUCAACUAGCCGGCAACUGGAAAAUCCGUCCUCUAUUUUGGUUUGUUUUAGCAGUUGGAAGCAAACCAACAAAGCACCAGAAAAUCCUGCAAAAUCAUUCUGCAACAAUCCUUAGCGACUCCAACUACGGACCAAAUGUUAAUUGAAGGAAGUCCUUAAUUAAAACUAACGCCUUGAUCUCCACUUACACACUACAAAGAUUCACUCAAUUUAUU